UAACUCUUGAACGCACAUUGCGCCCCUGGUUAUCCUGGGGCAUGCCUGUUCGAGCGUCACU
rnacentral:rRNA from 1 species